UUGCGGUGGAUUUGAGUAAAGGGUCCGAACACACUACGAGAUUGCUGAGGUUUUUCUUUUCAGCGGACUGGAAAAUCUGAUCAAACUCAAAGUCGAGGUGCUAUGACUGGAUCUAUAUAUAUAACGGUUCUUCUUGAAAAAUAAUGUAGAAUAGGCCAUAGGGAGGGAGAGUGCUUCCUGUCCUAAACAACAGCGGUCUGUCUCCUCGAACAACCAAUUCUCACACGCACUCUCUCCGUCUCUUUCAUUUCCCCCAUAAUUUCUUCUCCCAUCAAGCCUGGGUCGCUAAUUUAUAUAAUUUGUUAUAGUCUAUUUCGUAUUAUUGAUAUCCGAUUCAAGUUAUUGUUGUUGUUGUUGUUCUUCUUCUUCUACCUGUUGUUGCCGUUUUCUUUUCAGUUUUUACUUCGAGAGAUUUUCUUUGAUUGUAAAAUCUUUAAAUUGAUCACCAAUCUGGUAGAUUAUGAUCGUCGUGAGUGAUCUUUUGGGAGUUGGUAUGUUGCGAGACCCAUUUUUGUGAAUGAAGAAGGAUGGGAUUGGAAUCGGUUGGGGUUGAAUUCGUUGAAUUGGAAGAGAAGCUCGACACCCAGUUCGACAAUCGGGUUGGCGAGUUGGUCCGAUCAGUGAUCGGUUAAUUGAAUUUUUUUUGGGGUUCUCUUUAUUUUGUUGCUUGUAAAGAAGCCUAUGAUGUUGGAGGCAUUGGGCGAGGUCAAUUUCCUGGUCGGUGCUUGAUUUUGGGGCUUCUGGGUCUGGGUCAUGGAUGAGGUCGGCCCAAGCAAUGGACAAAAAGAAUCAGGCGGUGGUGGUGCUGAGGAAUUAUCAUCGUCAUCGGCGGCGGUGCCAGGGGGUUUUGAUUGGAGGCCGAAGCAGCUCGUUUUUAGUCUAUAUGAGACUGUGAACAAGGCGCAAGCUUUGCGCGUUGUUGUGCGGAAACCGUUGGUGGCAAGACUAACCAAGGGCAUAGUUGAGACGUACCAAAUAUGCAAUCCGCAGUUUAAGUAUUCAGAGGAACUAAAUCCGAAGAGAUAUUUGACCAGCCCAUCCAUUGGAGUCCUAAAUGAUGGCUAUGAUAAUGUGAACUCAGAUCUUAUUCUGACUGUGAACUGUGUCUUAAUCAAUUCAGGAACACAGCGAAGAUACAUUGUCAACGAUGUUCUUGGUCACGGGACAUUUGGGCAGGUUGCUAAAUGCUGGGAUGCAGAGACAAACUGUUUUAUUGCUUUGAAGAUUAUCAAAAAUCAACCUGCCUACUAUCAGCAGGCACUGGUUGAAGUAUCUAUAUUGACAACGUUGAAUAAGAAGUAUGAUCCGGAGGAUAAGCAUCAUAUUGUUCGUAUUUUUGAUUACUUUGUAUAUCAACGACAUUUGUGCAUCUGCUUUGAACUGCUUGACACCAAUCUGUAUGAGCUUAUAAAAAUAAACCACUUUAGGGGAUUGUCUUUGAGCAUUGUCCAAAUGUUUUCUAAACAGAUUUUAUGUGGACUGGCUCUGUUAAAAGAUGCUAGGAUCAUUCAUUGUGAUCUGAAGCCAGAAAACAUCCUUUUGUGCACGAGUGUGAAGCCAGCAGAAAUUAAAAUUAUCGACUUUGGAUCAGCAUGCAUGGAAGAUCGCACCGUUUACUCCUACAUUCAGAGUCGUUACUACAGAUCUCCUGAAGUUCUUCUUGGGUAUCAAUAUACUACAGCUAUCGAUAUGUGGUCAUUUGGCUGCAUUGUUGCUGAAUUGUUUCUAGGCUUGCCAUUGUUCCCAGGAGCUUCAGAAUUUGACCUCCUUAGUCGGAUGAUUGAAAUACUCGGAGGACAACCCCCAGAUUAUGUAUUAAAGGAGGCUAAAAACACAAGUAAGUUUUUUAAGUGCAUUGGGAGUGUCCACAAUAUAGAGACUGGUGAAGUUUCGACAAAUGGCAGAAGUGCUUACCGAGUAUUAACAGAAGAAGAAUAUGAAGUUAGAGAGAAGAAAAAGCCAGUGAUUGGAAAAGAGUAUUUCAAACAUAUGAAUCUUGAAGCAAUUGUCAGAAGCUAUCCUUACAGAAAGAACUUGCCUGAGGAAGAUAUUUUAAAAGAAAGGCAAAUACGAUUAGCUUUGAUUGAUUUCUUGAGGGGUCUUGUUGACUUUGAUCCUGCAAAGCGGUGGUCGCCUUUACAGGCUUCAAAACAUCCUUUUGUCACAGGGGAACCUUUCACAUGCCCUUACAAGCCUCCCCCAGAGACCCCUCGCGUUCCUGUAGCUCAAAAUAUCAAGGUGGACCACCACCCAGGUGGAGGGCAUUGGUUUGCUGCUGGUCUCUCUCCUAAUAUUCCUGGCAAGAAUAGAGUCGCUCUUCAUAAUAGCCCACACUUUCAGAUGGUGCCAUAUCAACAUGCCCACAGUUAUGGCAGUGUUGGAAGCUAUGGUAGCUACAAUGAUGGUACAGGGCUUGGAAGCAGCUAUGGAAGUUAUGGAGAUAGUAGUAAUGUGUUUGCAUAUUAUUCGCCUGUUGGUCCAUCUGGAAUGAACAUGCAUCCACAUAGCAAUGUGUCAAUGCUAGGAAGUAGUCCUGAUACAAGAAGAAGGGUUAUACAAUACCCACAUGGAAAUGGACUUGGUAUAAGUCCCUCGGCAGGAAAUUUUGCGCCACUGCCUCUUGGCACUAGCCCAUCACAAUUUACUCCACCAAGCUCCUAUAGUCAAGUUUCUGCUGUCUUUCCUGGACAAUAUGGUCCAACCUCUCCAGCAAGAGGUAGUCAUGGAUCGUCUUUAGGAAAGAUGGCUGCAGUUAGCCACUUCAAUAGAAGAAAAAGUUCGGGAUAUUCUGGAAAUUCUCAAUCUCAAGAGAGCUUGUCAUCUUCUCAUUGGCAAGGGCAAUUUAGCGAGGGCUCCAGCUCUUCACAUGCUGAACUUGGUGGUUUUCCAUCGCAUCUGCAAUCAAACUCCAAUGCUGCGAGCUGGAAGCAACAUCAAGGAGGCACCGGAAUCUCAGCUGGUUGCCAUGCUUUUCAGAGCAUGCCAGGAACCUCUAUUCCUGGCUCUCAUAUUCUAUCGGCACAAAAUGCAGGAGCAGCUAAUGACAAGCCUGAGGCUAACCUCUCACUGCCUGACCCUCAAGAUUGGGAUCCCAACUAUAGUGAUGAUCUUCUUCUGCAAGAAGACAGUUUGGAUGUGAGCGAGAUGACAACCGACUUCAGAAAAAACAUGCGUCUUGUAUCUGCAGAUGGAAGAUUCAAUCAUAUCUCAAAUACAGUUUCAAUUUCAUCCAUACAAAGACAAAAUGGACCUGUUCAAGCAUUUUCACAAAUGGAGGUGGGUAGCCCUCCUUCAGGUCAUGAUCCACAUCCUGGAGGAUAUGUCCGCCCCAUGUCAAAGCCUUCUCACAUUGCAUCUCAUAUCUCACAAAACUCUCCUAGCCGUUUGGGUCAGCAAACUGUUCAGCGGUUCAAUAAUGGACGACCCCCCAACAGUCGGACUGACGAAUGGAAUCAUAUGAAUGUUCAUCCUCCUUUCUCCAGCUUUACCUCUGGGGGUCCACGUUCUCCUGGAAAUAGCUCAUUGAGCAAUGGCAUGUCAUGGGGUCGUAGGAGUAAUCAUCCUGUCACAAACAUGCCACCAACAUCCCGUGGAAGGAAAGACUAUGGAAGGAUUUCCUAAUGUUGAAUCAGCUUAUUCUUUUUACCAUGAGGGAUCUUGUCUGUGAGUUGGAAGAAAGUUGUACUCAAUAGUUCAGAUGCCCAAUGGGCUCAUCUGCCGGAAAGAAUUGCAGCAAGGUAUAAGUUGUUCUACGAGUAGCAAGUGGGCCGCGUGGCUGAUGGCGUGAUCGUAAACAGACACUUGAAAAAGAUAUAUUUUUCAUGUUUAAUUAUUUCUGGUUGACAAGCCAAGUAGGUUACUUGCAGAUAUCCCGAGCCACUGUAAAUCCGGUAUACCGAGCAUGUAAAUUAAACAAGUUUUUCAGCCCUUAAAAUAUAAGAUCAUGCUAGUGAUUUUUAUUGACUGUGAAUGAACAAGAGUUGAGAGCUAGACUGAACAAACAAAAUGUAAGUUUUAUGGUUUGCACUACAUGAUGAUAUAUUUGAAUA